ensembl:piRNA 21ur-2664 ncRNA
UUAGCAAGUAUUCUGACAUUC